rnacentral:rRNA from 1 species
CACGGCCUAUCAGCUUGUUGGUGAGGUAAAGGCUCACCAAGGCGACGACGGGUAGCCGGCCUGAGAGGGUGACCGGCCACACUGGAACUGAGACACGGUCCAGACUCCUACGGGAGGCAGCAGUGGGGAAUAUUGCACAAUGGGCGCAAGCCUGAUGCAGCAACGCCGCGUGAGGGAUGAAGGCCUUCGGGUUGUAAACCUCUUUCAGCAGGGAAGAAGCGAAAGUGACGGUACCUGCAGAAAAAGCACCGGCUAACUACGUGCCAGCAGCCGCGGUAAUACGUAGGGUGCAAGCGUUGUCCGGAAUUAUUGGGCGUAAAGAGCUCGUAGGCGGUUUGUCGCGUCUGCUGUGAAAACUGGAAGCUCAACUUCCAGCCUGCAGUGGGUACGGGCAGACUAGAGUGCGGUAGGGGAGAACGGAAUUCCUGGUGUAGCGGUGGAAUGCGCAGAUAUCAGGAGGAACACCGAUGGCGAAGGCAGUUCUCUGGGCCGUUACUGACGCUGAGGAGCGAAAGCGUGGGGAGCGAACAGGAUUAGAUACCCUGGUAGUCCACGCCGUAAACGGUGGGUGCUAGCUGUGGGCCACAUUCCACGUGGUCCGUGACGAAGUUAACACAUUAAGCACCCCGCCUGGGGAGUACGG